GUGACCGCCGGCGCUCCGAGAAAUGCGGCAAGCUGGGAGCUUUCCGCGGGCAUACUCUGAUUCACUGCAUAUGGUAGUUCUUGAAGACCGUAUAGCUAAGAACUUAAACCCGCAAAUUAGGAAAGAUGAUACACUCGCCUGGAAGGAGCAAAUUGACCAAGUUCCAUGCAAUUGUCACUUCUGCUACA